ACCACUGCGUGCGCAGUCACACAGGCGGCGAGGUACGGACGAAGGACAGCUCUGCUUGUGUCACUGUCGCACGCUCCCAGAGCAGCAGCUACAGUCGCCCUCCCAGGGAAAACACAGACUCAGAUCGGGUGACGUGCCACUUCCAGAGGGGACGUACUAAAAGGAAUGACACUCUGUUCUUUGGACUGCAGAACCAGUGAGCAGCUUCAGCUGCGCCUGGAGCAACACAGCAAUCAGCAGGAGGCUUUGAAGAUGGUGGUAGGCCGGAGAGCACAACAGAGGGUCAGUGCCAUAGGAGCAUUCACCAGGAAAGGGACAGGCAGCUGUCAGUAAUCCAGAGCCAAGUAUAGAAGCUCCACCAGACAGCGGGGCCACAGACAGGAGAGCAGAGCCCAGGACAGAACGGAGGAUCAGAGAAGCACACAGAGGUCAGAGCUCAGCAGAAGGGCAUCAGGAACAGAGUCCGCCAUUACCACCUUCCCUGACAGGGAAUUCCAAAUCCUUAUUGCCCUAACAGUGAAGAACCCUUUCCUCCGUUGUGUUCGGAACUUUCUCUCCUCCAGCCGCAUGUCAGAUGGUGUACUACACAAAGAAAAAGAAUAAUAAAAAAAAGUUUAAACUAUCUGAUGUUCAAUCAGCACAUUUGCACGUAAUAAAUACUAUUCGCCGGCAGUCACAUAAACGAUGGUGGUAUCCCAACAUUGAAGAUCAUGACAUCGAAGGGGUGGAUGCCCCUAGACCACAGGACUUCAGAGAGAAAUAAAUUGCUAUCUGUCAGGGAAACAGAGGUCCAGGUAGUGUACACAUCACAAUGGCAAAGGGGAAGUGGCUUGACAACGUCAUCGGCGCAUUGCCAGAUAUGUGGUUCUAACCUACUUAAGUCUGUGACCAUGGUGAUGGUUACACUUUUGGUGACGUCAUUGGGAGAGCGCAUACUGACGGGACCUGCCAGAAACAGAGCGCCUGAAUGGUGAGGAGGCACACAUAAAUGAUUUCUGUGCAGUACAUGGAAGGGACAUCACAUGAUGGCUGAACAAGAAUUGCCUCCUGAUGGAAAUAGUUGAGUAGAUUGCACCAUGGCUUGCUAAAAGUGGGUUAGCCACAUGAGAGUACCUGAUUCUGCACUCAAAUGCUUGUUUUAAUUGGCGUGUUUCAAUUAAGCGUGCAGACACUGCACAUUGAGAGCACCAGUCCCAGUUUUUGAUUAAAGGUCAAUCUGGUUCACAAAAUCGCUUGGAAUUUGGUGCAUCAACGAAAUGUAAAAUAUAUCUUUGAGAUCAUUUAGUGGCAGCAUUACUUUCAAUGGAAAGCAUCAAAAAAGUGGCGUAAAAGUGAUGGGCACAUACAAAUGGGCUGUUCAGUGGGCGAACUAUGGGAGUGUCAAUGCACAGACGCACAGCUGCAAGCAUAGGAGGCCGUGGUGCAGUUUUCAAUGGUGCGUCUGAUGGUAGCAUAUAAGAAUGCAUUAAUAGGUAUUACAGCGUGCACAGGAAGAGGAGGCUACUUAGUCCUUGCACAUUUGGGUGCACAAAGGAAGGAGUUUGCAGGCCAUUUAAAUAAAUCCACAGGCGGGCGACCCCAUAUAGAUGCUGCUGCGUCUUAGAAUUAGGCCAAUAAUGUAAUGUCAAAUACUAAUGUGACCCAUAAAAUAAUAUCACCCAUAAUGUUCCCUUAAUUUUAUGAUUUAAUUUAGACAUAAGUGAGGCUCCCACAAGCAGUUUUUUGGAGAACACUCGCCCCCCUCCCAAAACUAGUAAUUAAAGGGAUGGGGCAAAAACAAAAGACGGCAGAACUUUGAAGCAAUGUUUUUAUUUUGCAAACACGGAUAUUUACAUUUUCUUUAAACUACUUUUCAAAGUGCCUGCAAGGAUGUAUUCGUUAAUAAAUAUGUUCAGUACACCA